rnacentral:rRNA from 1 species
AUACGGGGGAUGCGAGCGUUAUCCGGAUUUAUUGGGUUUAAAGGGCGCGUAGGCGGGACGUCAAGUCAGCGGUAAAAGACUGCAGCUAAACUGUAGCACGCCGUUGAAACUGGCGCCCUGGAGACGAGACGAGGGAGGCGGAACAAGUGAAGUAGCGGUGAAAUGCAUAGAUAUCACUUCGGAACCCCGAUAGCGAAGGCAGCUUCCCAGGCUCGUUCUGACGCUGAUGCGCGAGAGCGUGGGUAGC